GUGUCCAAGGGAGGCCCAUCUAGAUACUUACUUCUGUCCACUGUCUCUUUUCCACCAGAUGUUGAAGCCCCAGGAGGGCCCUCAGUCUUCAUCUUUCCCCCGAAACCAAGGACAUCCUCAUGAUCUCCCGGACACCCGAGGUCACAUGUAUGGUGGUGGACGUGUCCCCAGAGGACCUCGAAGUAGAGUUCACCUGGUAUGUGGACAGUGAAAAGAAGAGCGUGGAUAAGACGAAGGCACAGCAUCAGCAGUUCAACAGCACCUACCGAGUGGUCAAGGCCUUCCCAAUCGCACACCAGGACUGGCUGAAUGGCAAGACAUUCAAGUGCAAGGUCAACAGUCAGUCCCUCCCAUCCCCCAUUGAGAGGACCAUCUCCAAGACCAAAGGAACAGCCCGGGAACCCCAGGUGUACCCCCUGGCCCCACACACAGACGAGCUGUCCAAGAACACCAUCACCGUGACCUGCCUGGUCAAAGACUUCUUCCCAGCGGACAUCAAUGUGGAGUGGCAGAGCAAUGGGAAGCCGGAGCCAGAGGCCAAGUACAUCACAACCCCGCCAAUGAAGGACAACGAUGGGUCCUUCUUCCUGUACAGCAAGCUCUCGGUGGACAAAGCCAGGUGGACCCAGGGACAGGCCUUCACAUGUGCGGUCAUGCAUGAGGCUCUGCACAAUCACUACACCCAGAAGGUCAUCUCCCAGACUCCGGGGAUACUCCUGGAUGAGAGCUGUGCAGAGGCCCAGGACGGAGAGCUGGACGGGCUGUGGACCACCAUCUCCAUCUUCAUCACCCUCUUCCUGCUCAGCGUGUGCUACAGCGCCACGGUCACCCUUUUCAAGGUGAAGUGGAUCUUCUCUUCAGUGGUGGAGCUGAAGCGGACCAUCGUCCCUGAUUAUAGGAACAUGAUCGGACAGGGGGCUUAGCACCAGCCCUCCUGGGAAGGCAU